rnacentral:lncRNA from 1 species
UCUCCUCCCACAAAGUGUCAUUAAAAGUCGAAGCAGUCGUAAUAACUUGAGGAAAUUGUGUCGCGCCUAGAAACGUUGGAAGAAACUUCGUCCCGGGGCCCACGUCUGAUACGCCGUGCAAGGCCUCGGACCACCACUCGUACCCUUGAAUUCCUAGUCGUGGCACCGCGGCUGCGUUAUUCACUAACAAUCUUACUUUUUCUUGCAAAGUUAAUCUUCCUAGCAAAUCUCUAACCCGAGCUCUUAUUGGUAGGUUUACCCGACAAAACGGGAGGUCUUUAGUGACCCGAUUAUUCGGGUCACAUGCAAACGGCGGCCUCGACUCUCCGUUGAAGAGAACUAAGAAUCCGGUUAGGAGGAAGAAGAGGGAGGAUGGUGAAAGAAUGCAUUUGGUUGAAGAGUGAAUGGGUAUUUAUAGGGUCAUGUUACAUGAUGGUGGCGUAUAGAUAGUGGGUUAGUUUUUGUGAACAUGAUUGGAUUUAC